rnacentral:misc_RNA from 1 species
UACGAAGGGGGCUAGCGUUGUUCGGAAUUACUGGGCGUAAAGGGCGUGUAGGCGGCCCGUUAAGUCAGGUGUGAAAGGCCUGGGCUCAACCCAGGAAUUGCGCCUGAGACUGGCGGGCUUGAGUCCGGGAGAGGAUGGUGGAACUCCCAGUGUAGAGGUGAAAUUCGUAGAUAUUGGGAAGAACACCCGUGGCGAAGGCGGCCAUCUGGACCGGUACUGACGCUAAGGCGCGACAGCGUGGGGAGCAAACAGG